UACGUAGGGUGCGAGCGUUGUCCGGAAUUAUUGGGCGUAAAGAGCUCGUAGGCGGUUUGUUGCGUCUAUCGUGAAAACCUGCAGCUUAACUGUGGGCUUGCGGUGGAUACGGGCAGACUUGAGUACUGCAGGGGAGACUGGAAUUCCUGGUGUAGCGGUGGAAUGCGCAGAUAUCAGGAGGAACACCAAUUGCGAAGGCAGCUCGCUGGGACGUUACUGACGCUGAGACGCGAAAGCGUGGGGAGCAAACAGG
rnacentral:rRNA from 1 species